rnacentral:rRNA from 1 species
UACGAAGGGGGGCUAGCGUUGCUCGGAAUUAUUGGGCGUAAAGCGCACGUAGGCGGUUCGUUAAGUCGGAUGUGAAAGCCCUCGGCUCAACUGAGGAAGUGCACCCGAAACUGGCGAGCUUGAGUACGAAAGAGGAUCGCGGAAUUCCCGGUGUAGAGGUGAAAUUCGUAGAUAUCAGGAGGAACACCGGUGGCGAAGGCGGGUCUCUGGGCAGUAACUGACGCUGGAGGAGCGAAAGCGUGGGGAGCGAACAGG